UAUAGUAACAAACUUAUUUAUUCAAAUAGUUUGCAUCAGUUUAUAGGUUUGAAUCUACUUAGCAAAUCAAAACUUGUGUCUUACGAAAAAUGUUAAUUAGAUUAAAAGCCCAAUUAACAUUCUGCCCAGCCCACUCUUUAGUUGCUACCCAAGCCCAACUCCAUAACUUGUUUUUGAUGAAAAUGUAUCUGUAAAAAUAUAAUCAGACGACACUGUAGAUCAUCUUCGAUACCGUUCUCAUCAGCUUCUUUCGUUUCCAAUUUCGAUAGAACAGCUGAAAUUGAAAAUCAGAUUGUCGUUCAAUUCGAAGAGUAUUUGACCAUAAUCGGUUCUACAUGUGAAUAGCUGAUUCAUACCUCAUAAGCUCAUUUUGAUAGGAUGAAGCAUAGUAGAUGGAUAAAUUCAAGCUUGGGCAAGUCACUCUACAUCGAAUAACAGUCACAAAAAGAAGAGAAGCUUGUGAAUCAGUCAAGACUACUUCAAGGGUUUCACCAGUGUUGUUGGUAUAUUGGCGCUAAGAAUGGGGAACCUUCACCUGCACACGCCAAGAGGUUUUGUAAGGUCUUACAUCUCUCAACAGAGCAAAUUGUGAGGCCAUUAGUGCUGGUCGCAGUAACUAAGGAAAGAUUUGGUGAAUAAAAAUCGGAGCAAACUAUCAAAUUAGGCAAGAUCCGAAUGUCAAGAUUGCGGGUCAAAUUGAGAAUAUUUCCGGGUCAUAAUUUUGACCCGAUUGGGGACCCCAAAAACUGUUGCAUAAAUAAUACAGUAUAGGUAAGAGUUUAUUUAGACAACAAAUAAGGAUGGCCAACUACACCCAACCAAUGUCCCAUUACAUUAUAGAACAAAUUCUGAUCCGCGCCCUCGUGGUCUCUAUCAAUCAUGACCAUAGAUUUGGAUAAUUAUAUCAUUAACAUAUCGAAA